CCUACGGGUGGCAGCAGUGAGGAAUAUUGGUCAAUGGACGAGAGUCUGAACCAGCCAAGUAGCGUGAAGGAUGACUGCCCUAUGGGUUGUAAACUUCUUUUAUAAAGGAAUAAAACGAGGCACGUGUGCCUUUUUGCAUGUACUUUAUGAAUAAGGAUCGGCUAACUCCGUGCCAGCAGCCGCGGUAAUACGGAGGAUCCGAGCGUUAUCCGGAUUUAUUGGGUUUAAAGGGAGCGUAGAUGGGUUGUUAAGUCAGUUGUGAAAGUUUGCGGCUCAACCGUAAAAUUGCAAUUGAAACUGGCAGUCGUGAGUACAGUUGAGGUAGGCGGAAUUCGUGGUGUAGCGGUGAAAUGCUUAGAUAUCACGAAGAACCCCGAUUGCGAAGGCAGCUUACUAAACUGUGACUGACAUUGAUGCUCGAAAGUGUGGGUAUCAAACAGGAUUAGAUACCCGAGUAGUC
rnacentral:rRNA from 1 species